rnacentral:tRNA from 1 species
UCCCAGGUGACUCAGUGGUAAAGAAUCUACCUGCAAUGCAGGAGAUGUAGGUUCGAUCCCUGGUUUGGGAA